rnacentral:rRNA from 1 species
CGCGCCGGACCGUGCACAAGUCUCCUGGAAUGGAGCGUCGUAGAGGGUGAGAAUCCCGUCUUUGGCACGGACUCCCGGUGCUUCUGUGAUGCGCUCUCGAAGAGUCGAGUUGUUUGGGAAUGCAGCUCAAAAUGGGUGGUGAACUCCAUCUAAAGCUAAAUAUUGGCGAGAGACCGAUAGCGAACAAGUACCGUGAGGGAAAGAUGAAAAGCACUUUGGAAAGAGAGUGAAACAGUACGUGAAAUUGUUGAAAGGGAAACGCUUGAAGUCAGUCGCGUCGACCGAGACUCAGCCUUGCCUUGGCUUGGUGUACUUCUCGGCCCGACGGGUCAGCGUCGAUUUUGCCGCUCGGAAAAUGACAAGGGAAAGGUGGCACCUUUGCGGGUGUGUUAUAGUCUCCUGUCGCAUGCGAGGGGUGAGAUCGAGGAACUCAGCACGCGCCUUUGGUGUCGGGGCUUUGGCCCACGUAACGUGCUUAGGAUGCUGGCGUAAUGGCUUUAAACGACCCGUCUUGAAACACGGACCAAGGAGUCCAACAUGCCCGCGAGUGUUCGGGUGGAAAACCCGUGCGCGUAAUGAAAGUGAAAGUUGGGACCUCUGUCGUGGAGGGCACCGACGCCCGGACCAGACCUUCUGUGACGGAUCUGCGGUAGAGCGUGUAUGUUGGGACCCGAAAGAUGGUGAACUAUGCCUGAAUAGGGUGAAGCCAGAGGAAACUCUGGUGGAGGCUCGUAGCGAUUCUGACGUGCAAAUCGAUCGUCAAAUUUGGGUAUA